UUUUCCUAGCCUUCAUUGAUAUCGUAUGCGGUUUAUCGGAAUCAGAAAGAUCAUAUAUUCAAUUACUUAAUCCGUGAACAGAACCUUUGGCUUACCCUAAUUUUCCAGGGAAUGGACCAUCAUUCAAUGCAUAUUGAUUUAUAAUCUGUGUUGGAUCGCGAACCUUCUCUUCUCUCAGGUCCAGAGGGGAACUCCUAGUUAAGUCCCUCAGCGACUUGGAUUGAUGCCUAUCGGUAAGAGGAAACUCGGGAUUCGUGCCAUGUAUGUGGCACACAACUGGUUUUAUCGAUGUGAAUCAAC
rnacentral:lncRNA from 1 species